rnacentral:lncRNA from 1 species
AUGGGCAGGACUGAAAUAUUGCCCCAAGAAGAGAGUCUUAAACUGUUCCCACGACAUAUUCAGUGCAUCCUCAACAUUCCUGCUGGCAAGCGACCACCAGUGAUGUGCUGAAUCAUCCAGGAAAGUUACUGCCAUCUUCACCUUCUUUUCAUCUGGCAACUCUGUGCUCACAAAAGCUUUUUUCCAUUUUGUCCACCCAAGUAUAAGCAUCAAGGGGUCCCUUGGCACCCUUGAACUCUCUGGCUCCAGCUUCAAAAACUUCUCUCCUUUUCACAGAAUGAGGUUGUGGAGCUCGAUCCAUGACAUCCCUCAGCAUAUUCCCAAUAUCAUCAACCAGUCCCCUGACCUCAUUGCCUUCAUCGGCAUUGGUCGAAGUAGCCACACGGGGUUGCCGUGGGCGCCUAGGAGGCAUAGUACCUGAGGAAGAAGAAAUUUAGUAGUCCAUACACAAGACUAAUGUCACAUCCCGGGACCCGCUCCGCCGUAACACGAUAUUGUCCGCUUUGGGCCCCCGGCCCUCACGGUUUUGUUUCCGGCAGCUCAGGAGCAGCUUCCCAGGAGGUCACCCAUCCUGGGAUUGCUCUAGCAUCAACAUGCUUAACUUCGGAGUACCCAUCCCCUCCGAAGCCGCUGAGCCACCAAAAGGCCUCGUAUUAGGUUGGAGGUGGGCAUGUACAUAUACAGCACAUAACCCCUCUCCGUUUGGCCGAUGUGGGAUAUUACAACUAACACAAUAAUCACAUAUACCCAAUAACACAUAGCAUCAAAAGCAUAAAAUGCCAAUGAAUCCGCCGCGGUCGGAUCAUCACUCUAUAGACACUACGUGCUACUUGGGCAAAUGUGAUAGUGACAAGGAAGCAGGAAAAGGAAACCUAUAGCUCUGAUACCAACUGACACGACCCACCCCGAAUUUCACCCUGAAACCCAGAGUAAGUCGUGCGGGGACCACCUCCAAGGAAAUUUACUGAAAAGAUUAAGAAAAUCUCCCUUGCAGAUGGACAACCCUAACUCGAAAAUUUCAUAUUACACUCUUAAUUAACGCUUCUGAACAUCACAUAAUAUACAAAAAUUCUAAAGUAUU